GGCGUGGAUAAGACAUGCAAGUCGAGCGCUGAUUACAGGGUAGCAAUAUCUCGUGAUCGGAGCGGCGCAAGGGUGCGUAACACGUGGGUAAUCUGCCAUGAAGUUUGGGAUAACUUGCUGAAAGGCGAGCUAAUACCGGAUGUGAAGAUUGGAAGGCAUCUUUUGGUUUUCAAAGCUGGGGACCGUAAGGCCUGGCGCUUCAUGAUGAGCCCGCGGCCUAUCAGCUAGUUGGUAAGGUAACGGCUUACCAAGGCUAAGACGGGUAGCUGGUCUGAGAGGACGACCAGCCACACUGGAACUGAGACACGGUCCAGACACCUACGGGUGGCAGCAGUCGAGAAUUUUUCACAAUGGGCGCAAGCCUGAUGGAGGGACGCCGCGUGGGGGAUGAAUGGCUUCGGCCCGUAAAGGCCUGUCAUUUGCGAACAAAUUUUCCACCUAACAC
rnacentral:rRNA from 1 species